rnacentral:tRNA from 1 species
CAAGACGUGGCUGAACAGCUAAGCAUCUCACUUACACCGAGAAAAUAUUCGUGCAACUCGAAUCGUCCUGA